rnacentral:lncRNA from 10 species
GUUUUGCUCAGGAUGUGGGCAGAUGAGGAAGUAGUAGCAACUGACUGAUAUUAUAUCUCCAUUUGGCUGGUGCUGGGGAAGAACCUUUGAGUCAGCCAAGGAGACAUUCCCCAGUGCAGAGAUGGCAAAUAGAAGUGUAUCUUUGGAUGUCAUCUACUUCUUCAGCUGUCCCCAGUUGCUGGGAGCAUGAAUACAAUGGCUGGAGCUCUAGUUACCAAUUCAGCCCAUGGGGACAAUGCCACACUGAUUUAGGAAAUGGCAGAGCUGGAAGGAGUCUAGAAGAAGACGAAAGUUUCUCCAGAUUCUAUUGAGUGCUGUUAUUAUAGAAGCCCUGGCCUUCCUAUCUCUGGCCUAUAUGUGAGAGAGAAACAAAGCUUGUUUAAGCCAC